rnacentral:rRNA from 1 species
AUGGAUGUGUGCCCGUCGUCCUCCCCACGCUCACCCGGGGUGGUGUGCUACUAUCGCUCACCUGGGACCCCACCCUCACUAGCUGUGGGGUCCCCGGCACUGGUUCCUGCUACGCCACCACCGUCUCGCUUGGGGUUGGGCACAUGUGAGGGGUUGGGCACGGUCUACGCCGACUCUCCUGUGCCUAGCUCUGACACCCGGUUGGUGGCUUCUUCGGCUGUGGCGUCUAGGCAAAGCGCCCGUCUCUGUCGGUCCCGGACCCUUCCGGAUGGCCGCGUCUCGACGGUUCCCGAGAUGGCGGCCAUGCGUGCGGUAGCACGCGACCUCACUCUAGGUACGACACCACCCCCUCCCUCUGGUUCCUUGGAUCCUUCAUAUUCCGGUUCUCGAUUUGUGGUUCUUGAUUCGGUGCCGCUGGCACACCUUGGUGACGUUGCACCAGACUGUGAUAUUGUGUUUCGAGGUGAGAAGGGUCCCUGUCUUGAGCAUAUUUCGGCCAUUUGUGCCAAAGAGCGGCUCGAUGGUGCGCUGGCUGAGGCUCGUGCCCGUGCCGAACAGCGGGCUAUGGAUGCCUCGGCCCCAUCUGGCUCUGGGCAUAGAAAGCCCGGGGUUGGAUCAGGCCUGAGCCGGCCGCCGUCCCGGCUUGACACCCCCAGUGGCCCUCAAGUAGGGAGGGCCCUGCGAGGAAGGCCACCUAUGCGACUCCAUCCCUCUGAACAGAUGAUGGUAGUUCGAGGUGUUAGCGCUGACAUGGCAGGUGAUGCCCACAUUAAGCGGGGGCGUCGCGGCCGUCCAUCGAAACAAAUGCCCAAUCCCGCACUUGGUGGGAGGGCUAUCUCGGCCCACCCGAGGGGCCUAGUGACAUCGGCGAGGUUCCUAUAUGAAGCUCCUAUGCUAGAACAUUAG